CUCCGGUUGAUCCUGCCAGACCCGACUGCUAUCAGAAUGAGAUUAAGCCAUGCGAGUCAACGUAGCAAUACGUGGCACACGGCUCAGUAACACGUAGUCAACAUAACCAGAGGACGUGGAUAAACUCGGGAAACUGAGGCUAAACCGCGAUAGACCAAGAUACCUGGAAUGGUUUUUGAUCAAAAUCUAUAUGGCCUUUGGAUUGGACUGCGACCGAUCAGGCUGUUGGUGAGGUAAUGGCCCACCAAACCAGUAACCGGUACGGGCUCUGAGAGGAGGAGCCCGGAGAUGGGUACUGAGACAAGGACCCAGGCCCUAUGGGGCGCAGCAGGCGCGAAACCUCUGCAAUAGGCGAAAGCCUGACAGGGUUAUUCUGAGUGACUUUCGCUAAGAAAGUCUUUUGACAUCUCUAAAAAUGGUGUAGAAUAAGGGGUGGGCAAGUCUGGUGCCAGCAGCCGCGGUAAU
rnacentral:rRNA from 1 species